AUGGGUAGCCAAACAUCGCUGAUUCCUUCAACCAACACUUACUACUUGACUCCUGUGUCAAGUCAAGGUGUGCAGCUCAGAGACGAGCCCAGUGAGGACCCGUUCACCACCCUCAAGACACUUCAACCACAGCAGAGUCGCUGGCAAAAGAAAGAUUAUGAUGAAAAAGAAUAUGAAGAUCCAAGUGAAACUCGCCGCUGGGCCUGCAGGUCUCCGUCGAGCCACGGACGCCGGUCUCUGUUCCGCGGGAUAGGGUUUGUUAAAGUUGUUAAGAAUAAGGCCUACUUUAAGAGAUACCAAGUGAAAUUUAGAAGACGACGAGAGGGUAAAACUGAUUACUAUGCUUGGAAACGCUUGGUGAUAUAGGAUAAAAACAAAUACAACAUACCCAACUAUGCUUGGAAACGCUUGGUGAUAUAGGAUAAAAACAAAUACAACAUACCCAACUACAGGAUGACAGUUCGUGUAACAAGCAGAGAUAUCAUUUGUCAGAUUGCUUAUGCCCGUAUAGAGGGGGAUAUGAUAGUCUGCGCAGCAUAUGCACACGAACUGCCAAAAUAUGGUGUGAAGGUUGGCCUGACAAAUGAUGCUGCAGCAUAUUGUCCUGGCCUGCUGCUGGCCCGCAGCCUUCUCAAUAGGUUUGGCAUGGACAAGAUCUGUGAAGGCCAAGUGGAGGUGACUGGCGAUGAAUACAAGGUGGAAAGCAUUGAUGGUCAGCCAGGUGCCUUUACCUGCUAUUUGGAUGCAGGCCUUGCCAGAACUAACACUGGCAAUAAAGUUUUUGGCGCCCUGAAGGGAGCUGUGGAUGGAGGCUUGUCUAUCCCUCACAGUACCGAACGAUUCCCUGGUUACGAUUCUGAAAGCAAGGAAUAUAAUGCAGAAGUACACCGGAAGCGCAUCAUGGGCCCGAAUGUUGCAGAUUACAUGCGCUACUUAAUGGAAGAAGAUGAAGAUGCUUACAAGAAACAGUUCUUUCAAUACAUAAAGAACAGCGUAACUCCAGACAUGAUGGAGAUGUAUAAGAAAGUUCAUGCUGCUAUACGAGAGAAUCCAGUCUAUGAAAAGAAGCCCAAGAAAGAAGUUAAAAAGAAGAGGUGGAACCGUCCCAAAAUGUCCCUUGCUCAGAAGAAGGAUCGGGUAGCUCAAAAGAAGGCAAGCUUCCUCAGAGCUCAGGAGCGGGGUGCUGAGAGCUAAACCAAACAAUUUUCUAUCAUGAUUUUUCAGAUAUAGGCAAUAAACUUACAGACAGAAAA